CCUGAAAAAAUAGGAGGUCCAGCCUGCCCAGUGACCAAGUUAAACGGCCGCGGUACCCUAACCGUGCGAAGGUAGCGCAAUCACUUGUUCUUUAAAUGAGGACUAGUAUGAAUGGCAUCACGAGGGUCUCACUGUCUCCCCCCUCUAAUCAGUGAAACUGAUCUCCCCGUGAAGAAGCGGGGAUAAAUAUAUAAGACGAGAAGACCCCAUGGAGCUUUAAACUCAAUUUCAACUACCAUAAAUAAAUCAUAAAAAAUAGGUAGCCAUGACUAUUAGUUUUCGGUUGGGGUGACCACGGAGCAAAACACAACCUCCACGACGAAUGACUCUCUACCUCUAAUCAUAGAGUGACGACUCAAAGAAUCAACAAAUUGACCCAUUUGACCCAAAUUUUUGAUCAACGAAC
rnacentral:rRNA from 1 species